AGCGAACAUUGGCGGUAGGCUUAACACAUGCAAGCCGAACGGCAGCACAGCCCGCAAGGGUGGGUGGCGAGUGGCGGACGGGUGAGGAAUACAUGGGAAUCUACCCUGUCGUGGGGGAUAACGUAGGGAAACUUACGCUAAUACCGCAUACGACCGAGAGGUGAAAGCGGCGGACCGCAAGGCGUCGCGCGGCUGGAUGAGCCCAUGUCGGAUUAGCUAGUUGGCGGGGUAAAGGCCCACCAAGGCGACGAUCCGUAGCUGGUCUGAGAGGAUGAUCAGCCACACUGGAACUGAGACACGGUCCAGACUCCUACGGGAGGCAGCAGUGGGGAAUAUUGGACAAUGGGCGCAAGCCUGAUCCAGCAAUGCCGCGUGGGUGAAGAAGGCCUUCGGGUUGUAAAGCCCUUUUGUACGGGAAGAAAUCUUGUCGGUUAAUACCCGGUGAGGAUGACGGUACCGUAAGAAUAAGCACCGGCUAACUUCGUGCCAGCAGCCGCAGUAA
rnacentral:rRNA from 1 species